rnacentral:rRNA from 1 species
AUGGCUAAUGGACAACCCAGACUGGCCGCUGCUCCUUUCCCACUCUCCUCACUCUUGCAAACCAAUCUCCAGCAGCGAUGGGUAAUGUUCAGGUCUUCAGUUCGUUCCAAUUGUCUCUGUUUGAUGCACCUCCUCUUCCCCCAACCUUCACUUUUAGAAUUUGUUUUGUUUACUGAUACUGUUCUUUGUGCUCACAAAAAAUGCAGGUGUUCUGUUGGAUUAGAAAGUUUAGGAAUUAACCAUUUGGAAGGUGAUCCACUGGUUUCUAUGUUUCCAAUCUAUACAGUACCUCUUGCUGCUCCCGUGAGCAAUUAUUUGACCAUGCACCAAUAUUAUACUACAUACUUUGUACUCCGGUCCAAUGUUAUCCCAUGUACAGAUUUGUUCUUUGUCUAA